GACUACUCGGGUAUCUAAUCCUGUUUGCUCCCCACGCUUUCGAGCCUCAGCGUCAGUUACAGACCAGAGAGCCGCCUUCGCCACUGGUGUUCCUCCAUAUAUCUACGCAUUUCACCGCUACACAUGGAAUUCCACUCUCCUCUUCUGCACUCACGUCCCCCAGUUUCCAAUGACCCUCCCCGGUUCCGCCGGGGGCUUUCACCUCAGACUUACGAAACCGCCUGCGCCCCCUUUACGCCCAACCCACACCGAACACCCUUCCCACCUACCUACACCCCACCCCACUCCCACGUUAUCAAC
rnacentral:rRNA from 1 species